rnacentral:rRNA from 1 species
AAGGCUAAGUAUCGCUCGUAGUCUCCUGAAGGUUGCUGGACGACCGUCGAGCGCAUGUGCACGCUUCUUUGUUUUCUCCCACUGUGCACAAACCUGUAGACACCCUUUCCUGAGGAUUGCCGUGCGAGAGCCGGCUCUCCUUGUUGUCUAUGCUUUCACAACCUAUGAAUGUAUCUAGAAUGCUUUGAAUCUGGGGAAUACACAUACAACUUUCAGCAACGGAUCUCUUGGCUCUCGCAUCGAUGAAGAACGCAGCGAAAUGCGAUAAGUAAUGUGAAUUGCAGAAUUCAGUGAAUCAUCGAAUCUUUGAACGCAUCUUGCGCUCCUUGGUAUUCCGAGGAGCAUGCCUGUUUGAGUGUCAUUUGAAACCUCUCAACCACCUUCAAGGUGGCUUGGAAAUGGGGGAUCGUUGCAGGCUUUUUUGAAGUCUGCUCCCCUGAAAUGCAUUAGUGGUGUCUGGGCUGACUGCCACAGGUGUGAUAACUAUCAGUGCCUUGGUGGGAGACCUUGCCGCUUCCAAUCCUCUGAUGACCAGCUUGACCUCAAAUCAGGUAGGACUACCCGCUGAACUUAAGCAUAUCAAUAAGCGGAGGAAAAAGAAACUAACAAGGAUUCCCCUAGUAACUGCGAGUGAAGCGGGAAAAGCUCAAAUUUGAAAUCUGGCGGUCGCUCGACCGUCCGAGUUGUAAUCUAGAGAAGUGUUACCUGUGCUGGACCGUGUACAAGUCUUCCUGA